rnacentral:rRNA from 1 species
CCAGCACCCCGAGUUGUCGGGACGAUUAUUGGGCCUAAAGCAUCCGUAGCCUGUUCUACAAGUCCUCCGUUAAAUCCACCUGCUCAACAGAUGGGCUGCGGGGGAUACUAUAGGGCUAGGAGGCGGGAGAGGCAAACGGUACUCAGUGGGUAGGGGUAAAAUCCAUUGAUCUACUGAAGACCACCAGUGGCGAAGGCGGUUUGCCAGAACGCGCUCGACGGUGAGGGAUGAAAGCUGGGGGAGCAAACCGGAUUAGAUACCCGGGUAGUCCCAGCUGUAAACGAUGCAGACUCGGUGAUGGGUUGGCUUCGCGCCAACCCAGUGCCGCAGGGAAGCCGUUAAGUCUGCCGCCUGGGGAGUACGGUCGCAAGACUG